rnacentral:tRNA from 1 species
GCGGUUAUGGUGGAACUGGUAGACACGCAGCCUUGAGGUGGCUGUGUCGCAAGAUGUGGAGGUUCAAAUCCUCUUAACCGCACCA